rnacentral:rRNA from 1 species
CUUGGUCAUUUAGAGGAAGUAAAAGUCGUAACAAGGUCUCCGUAGGUGAACCUGCGGAGGGAUCAUUACAAGAACUUCCGGGCUUCGGCCUGGUUAUUCAUAACCCUUUGUUGUCCGACUCUGUUGCCUCCGGGGCGACCCUGCCUUCGGGCGGGGGCUCCGGGUGGACACUUCAAACUCUUGCGUAACUUUGCAGUCUGAGUAAACUUAAUUAAUAAAUUAAAACUUUUAACAACGGAUCUCUUGGUUCUGGCAUCGAUGAAGAACGCAGCGAAAUGCGAUAAGUAAUGUGAAUUGCAGAAUUCAGUGAAUCAUCGAAUCUUUGAACGCACAUUGCGCCCCCUGGUAUUCCGGGGGGCAUGCCUGUUCGAGCGUCAUUUCACCACUCAAGCCUCGCUUGGUAUUGGGCAACGCGGUCCGCCGCGUGCCUCAAAUCGUCCGGCUGGGUCUUCUGUCCCCUAAGCGUUGUGGAAACUAUUCGCUAAAGGGUGUUCGGGAGGCUACGCCGUAAAACAACCCCAUUUCUAAGGUUGACCUCGGAUCAKGUAGGGAUACCCGCUGAACUUAAGCAUAUCAAUAAGCGGAGGA